rnacentral:rRNA from 1 species
AUUGAACGCUGGCGGCAGGCCUAACACAUGCAAGUCGAGCGGGGUGAUGGUGCUUGCACUAUCACUUAGCGGCGGACGGGUGAGUAAUGCUUAGGAAUCUGCCUAUUAGUGGGGGACAACAUCUCGAAAGGGAUGCUAAUACCGCAUACGUCCUACGGGAGAAAGCAGGGGAUCACUUGUGACCUUGCGCUAAUAGAUGAGCCUAAGUCGGAUUAGCUAGUUGGUGGGGUAAAGGCCAACCAAGGGGACGAUCUGUAGCGGGUAGGAGAGGAUGAUCCGCCACACUGGGACUGAGACACGGCCCAGACUCCUACGGGAGGCAGCAGUGGGGAAUAUUGGACAAUGGGGGGAACCCUGAUCCAGCCAUGCCGCGUGUGUGAAGAAGGCCUUAUGGUUGUAAAGCACUUUAAGCGAGGAGGAGGCUCUUUUGGUUAAUACCCAAGAUGAGUGGACGUUACUCGCAGAAUAAGCACCGGCUAACUCUGUGCCAGCAGCCGCCGUAA